AGCAGACCUCUUUAACAUUACAGAUUGAAGCUGAGCACUGACCUCCCUGGCUCCAAAAACAGUAACUUUUACAGUUUUAUCUUUAACAUUAAGAAAAUAGACCCCAACCUAAAGCUCAGACUAGAGCUAAUGACUUUAUGGUGAGCAGCAUUUGGGGGGUUUUACAGACUUCUUUCUUUGUUUUAACAUCAAGCUGUAACUGUAGGUUGUAUUUCACAUGUUGAACCAGGUUUUUAUUGUCGAGACCAACUGAUUUGUCGACUUUCCCCAAACAGAGGAGCUUCACUCCAUUUCAGACGCAUUGAUCCAAAAGAGGCUCUCUGAUUGGGUGUUGAACGAGCUGUGAAAAUGUGUUGUGAAUGUUUUUUCUGUCUGUUCUGAUUAUUAAUCAUCUGUUGCUAACUGAUCUGUGUUUUAUUAAAAUGUAGAGACGGCACCAUCUGCCUUUCUGGAGUCUUCCUGAACUUUAAAAUCUGUUUGUUUUAUGUUUUCCUCAUCAGACCCGAUCCAGAGGAACAACCGGUGGCCCAGUAAGAUGUCUGUGAAGGUUCUCAGUCAUCCAGGUCAUGGUAGAAGAUACUAGAAGACGUUUCGUCCCUCAUUCAAGAGACUUCUUCAGUUCCAGAACCUUUGUUGGAUGGGUGGCCUUCAGGUUUCUAAGGGGCUGAUACUACAUGCAAGGUGAACUAACCAGUUUUCCACGUUUGCACGCCCGCAACUUCCUUCGUCUGAGCCAGCUGCCUGAGUCAAUUCGGGAGAGUUGGUGAAGAUAACGUUCAGACAGCCAAUAGAAUCAAUGCAGGAAAGUCACAUGGAGUCUUCCCACAUAAAUGUUCCUGUUGGUCAAAAUGAGUUAAAUUAAACAGACGACGGACCUGCUGGGCUCCUCACACCAGGCCUUCUUCACCAGGAAGACGACGAAGCUGAGGAAGAGGAAGAUGGAGACGGCGAUGAUGCCAGUGAGCCACUGAGGCAGCAGACGCUCGCUGAUCUGAGUCUGAUCUGCAACACAAGCACACAGAGAGUUCACACAGCUCGUACCUGUCUGGGCCGCCACGACUCCGACUGUCAGCAACAAACUGGAAAUCACUGCACAAAGUUUGGCCAUCGCUGGUUCUCCGCUCUGACUGAAGAAAAAAUAAACAGACGUUAAAAAACUUCGCACAAGUUUAAAGCUGAAGCUUCGGAGGUGGAGUUGAAACUAACAGCAGACGAGCAGCUCAGGUGAAGCAGCAGCUGGACCAAAGUGUUGCCUUACAAACCUCUUCCACUUUAAGGCCCCGCUUAUGUUAACAAGGCAGCGAGACUGAGGAGGACUGGACUGUAGAUUUGUUUACGUCUAUAAGUUUGACUCAUUUUCACAGACAGGGAGACUUAAAAACUCUAUAUACAAGAAAAAAGCAGCUUAAUAUGAUUAUCUUUAUCUAUAAUCAUCAACUAAUCUAUCAAAUAAUUAAUUAAUUGGUAAUCAGGCUGUCCUUAAUUAUCUUUGCAUGCAAAAUCCCCAUAAAUUCCUACCUAAUGUUAUAUAAAAACAUUUAUCUUUUAUUGAUUUAUCUUCAUCGAAUCAUCUUUAUUUGCCAGGUACGCAUACGAGGAAUUUGACUCUGGAAAUUUCCCUUCUCACGAUGUGCUUACUUAUGAAUUGCCACACACACACACACAUAUAUAUGUGUGUGUGUGUGGCAAUUCAUAACAGAAGUUAUCUAAUUGCACUUUUCAUACAGAGAAGGUAUUAUUAAUCAGGGCUGUACAGUGAGAACAUUUCCCUGGCAUAACAAUAGAUAAGAUUUAUGAUUUGAUAUGAUUGACGAGUUAGCACUUUUAUAAUUACAAACCAAUGUAAAGCAUUUUUCUUGCACAAGGAUUUAAUGAAUAAAAACAACCCACAAAGGUGAAA